AUUGUGGCUCCAUGGUAGAGCGCUUGCCUCACAUGCGUGAGGCAUUGGGUUCGAUUCUCAGCACCAUA
rnacentral:tRNA from 1 species